UACAGAGGGUGCAAGCGUUAAUCGGAUUUACUGGGCGUAAAGGGCGUGUAGGUGGUUUUGUAAGUUGGUUGUGAAAUCCCUGGGCUUAACCUAGGAAUGGCAAUCAAGACUGCAAGACUAGAGUACGGUAGAGGGUAGUGGAAUUUCCGGUGUAGCGGUGAAAUGCGUAGAGAUCGGAAGGAACACCAGUGGCGAAGGCGGCUACCUGGACUGAUACUGACACUGAGGCGCGAAAGCGUGGGGAGCAAACAGG
rnacentral:rRNA from 1 species